AGUGAACGCUGGCGGUAGGCCUAACACAUGCAAGUCGAACGGCAGCACAGUAAGAGCUUGCUCUUACGGGUGGCGAGUGGCGGACGGGUGAGGAAUACAUCGGAAUCUACUUUUUCGUGGGGGAUAACGUAGGGAAACUUACGCUAAUACCGCAUACGACCUACGGGUUAAAGAAGGGGAUCUUCGGACCUUGCGCGAUUGAAUGAGCCGAUGUCGGAUUAGCUAGUUGGCGGGGUAAAGGCCCACCAAGGCGACGAUCCGUAGCUGGUCUGAGAGGAUGAUCAGCCACACUGGAACUGAGACACGGUCCAGACUCCUACGGGAGGCAGCAGUGGGGAAUAUUGGACAAUGGGCGAAAGCCUGAUCCAGCCAUACCGCGUGAGUGAAGAAGGCCUUCGGGUUGUAAAGCCCUUUUGUUGGGAAAGAAAAGCAGCAGGUUAAUACCCCGCUGUUCUGACGGUACCCAAAGAAUAAGCACCGGCUAACUUCGUG
rnacentral:rRNA from 1 species